rnacentral:rRNA from 1 species
UACAGAGGUCUCAAGCGUUGUUCGGAUUCAUUGGGCGUAAAGGGUGCGUAGGUGGCGCCGUAAGUCAGGUGUGAAAUCUCGGGGCUUAACUCCGAAACUGCGUUUGAUACUGCGGUGCUUGAGGACUGGAGAGGAGACUGGAAUUUACGGUGUAGCAGUGAAAUGCGUAGAGAUCGUAAGGAAGACCAGUGGCGAAGGCGGGUCUCUGGACAGUUCCUGACACUGAGGCACGAAGGCCAGGGGAGCAAACGGG